rnacentral:rRNA from 1 species
CCCUACGGGGCGCAGCAGUGAGGAAUAUUGGUCAAUGGUCGGGAGACUGAGCCAGCCAAGCCGCGUGAGGGAUGAAGGUGCAGAGUAUCGUAAACCUCUUUUGUCAGGGAACAAAGGCGGGGACGUGUCCCCGGAUGAGUGUACCUGAAGAAAAAGCAUCGGCUAACUCCGUGCCAGCAGCCGCGGUAAUACGGAGGAUGCGAGCGUUAUCCGGAUUUAUUGGGUUUAAAGGGUGCGCAGGCGGUCUGUUAAGUCAGCGGUCAAAGCCCGGGGCUCAACCCCGGCCCGCCGUUGAAACUGGCAGG